GAGUAGAAAGGAAGAAGGACAAAUGGAAAUGGGUUUGAUAUAUAGGAACACUGUGCUUUGAAUUUCAUUUGAGAAACUGAAAAUUGGGUUUGGAAGAUUGAAAUAAUUCCUGAGUUGUUUGUGUUCUUGUGUUCUUGUUGAGAUAGAUGAACAUUUCUUGUUUGUUU